AUUGAACGCUGGCGGCAUGCUUUACACAUGCAAGUCGAACGGUAACAGGCCGCAAGGUGCUGACGAGUGGCGGACGGGUGAGUAAUGCAUCGGAACGUGCCCAGUCGUGGGGGAUAACUACUCGAAAGAGUAGCUAAUACCGCAUACGAUCUAUGGAUGAAAGCGGGGGACCGUAAGGCCUCGCGCGAUUGGAGCGGCCGAUGUCAGAUUAGGUAGUUGGUGGGGUAAAGGCUCACCAAGCCAACGAUCUGUAGCUGGUCUGAGAGGACGACCAGCCACACUGGGACUGAGACACGGCCCAGACUCCUACGGGAGGCAGCAGUGGGGAAUUUUGGACAAUGGGCGCAAGCCUGAUCCAGCAAUGCCGCGUGCAGGAAGAAGGCCUUCGGGUUGUAAACUGCUUUUGUACGGAACGAAACGGCUCUGGUUAAUACCCGGGGCUAAUGACGGUACCGUAAGAAUAAGCACCGGCUAACUACGUG
rnacentral:rRNA from 1 species